GCCCCAAAAAGUUUCUUCAAAGAACUUGUUAGAAGAUGGGUUCAUCGAGGAACCUCCGUUGUUGCUGGACUUCUUCCGGGAACUUCGCAAUUACAACUGAAAACGAUGGUGACAAGUUUGGAUGCGACAACAGUUAAAAAGAUUUCACCGCUCUUCACUCCUUUACUGCACAUCGGCGGAAAUCCAUUUCACCAUGAGAGUGAAAUCCCACUGGCCUUUGAUGGGGAGAACAUCCACACCCUCGAGGACGUCCCCAUGGGACUUGGGGCUCUGCUAGGGCUGUAUUUUUUUAUUUUCCCUUAAAUUUCCAAAAAUGUCAGAAAAACACUUAUGUUGUUAAGUUACUGUGUUCUGGGGAAAAGAGAAGUUGGGUGAAGUUACCAGGGCAGGUCAUAAAGAUGGCAAACUUCCUAACACAACUAAGUGGAUACGAUAUACACACUAAAGCUGAAAAAUCUUUAUUUAGCAUCAAGUCUACAAUGUUGUUAGUUUACCUAUGAUUAAUUUUUAAUAUAUGUUGUUUUUAUUGUACAUCAUUAUUAUUAUUUUAAAUGUCAUGAAAUGCACUUUACAAAGUAAUUUUAUUAUUUAAUAUGGUCUGACAUGUCUGCAG
ensembl:lncRNA